GGCAGGGGACUUGGGACUGACCUGCCCCCUGCCAGCCCCAGUGCACAGGCUGCUCCUCCCCGUGUAACUGGGCCCAGGUGCAGACCCAGUGAGCCGUUGGGUUCGGGGGAGGGGACCCCACACACAGGAGACAUGGCAGGUUCUCCUCCCCCUUGCUGGUAGGUCAGUAGCCGUGUGGAGAGGGGGUGGGGCACUCCGGCUCCUUGCAGGCCCCAGGGACACCCAUCCCCUUCCUCUCAGGGGGUGGGACAAAAAGUGAAUUUUCUGUAAUAGUUUUGAUGCCCGUGUGCAUCAGUUUCCCACUGUACUAGUCAUGUCUGCCCAGUGGGUGCCAAAGAGAUAAAAAGCCUCUCCUGGGGCAGAGCAGGGCCAGGAGGGGGAGUGUCACAUGGCUGGGGGCAGGAACUGGGCGUUCAGGAUGAAAACCAGCCCAGAGCAACGGAGGCUCCACAAAGAAGAGGAGUCGGCGUUCGGUGGGACUCAGGAGCUCCCGGCUAGGACUGAAAGAGAUGGAGACGGGAUCCAUGUUUGGCUCUUCAGCAGUUUGGCUGGGUGGAGCCCUGGCCUGGUUCUUCACCUUCACUUCUCUCUGCUGCCCAGGGACCUCCCAGGCCGGGUUCCAGGGGACCAAUAAACCGUGUGCUGUGUGGAAAA